rnacentral:rRNA from 1 species
AGAGUUUGAUCAUGGCUCAGAUUGAACGCUGGCGGCAGCCUUACACAUGCAAGUCGAACGGCAGGUCGGGGCAAUCCUGGUGGCGAGUGGCGAACGUGUGAGUAAUACCGAGCAACGUGCCCUGAGGGGGAUAGCACGGCGAAAGCCGGAUUAAUACCGCAUACGCUCAUGGGAGAGCCUGAUGAGGGAUCUUCGGACCUCGCGCGUCAAGAGACGGCCGAUGGCAGAUUAGCUGGCUGGUGGGGUAAAGGCCUACCAAGGCGACGAUCGGGUAGCUGGUCUGAGAGGACGACCAGCCACACUGGGACUGAGACACGGCCCAGACUCCUACGGGAGGCAGCUAGUGGGGAAUUUUGGACAAUGGGSGAACCCUGAUCCAGCAAUGCCGCGUGUGUGAAGAAGGCCUUCGGGUUGUAAAGCACUUUUUCCGGAAAGAAAUCCUUUGGGCUAAUACCCCGGGGGGAUGACGGUACCGGAAGAAUAAGCACCGGCUAAC